rnacentral:rRNA from 1 species
UACGUAGGGUGCAAGCGUUGUCCGGAAUUAUUGGGCGUAAAGAGCUUGUAGGCGGUUUGUCGCGUCUGCCGUGAAAGUCCGGGGCUCAACUCCGGAUCUGCGGUGGGUACGGGCAGACUAGAGUGAUGUAGGGGAGACUGGAAUUCCUGGUGUAGCGGUGAAAAUGCGCAGAUAUCAGGAGGAACACCGAGUGGCGAAGGCAGGUCUCUGGGCAUUAACUGACGCUGAGGAGCGAAAGCAUGGGGAGCGAACAGG